rnacentral:rRNA from 1 species
GACGAACGCUGGCGGCGUGCUUAACACAUGCAAGUCGAACGGAAAGGCCCUGCUUUUGUGGGGUGCUCGAGUGGCGAACGGGUGAGUAACACGUGAGUAACCUGCCCUUGACUUUGGGAUAACUUCAGGAAACUGGGGCUAAUACCGGGUAGGAGCUCCUGCUGCAUGGUGGGGGUUGGAAAGUUUCGGCGGUUGGGGCUGGACUCGCGGCUUAUCAGCUUGUUGGUGGGGUAGUGGCUGACCAAGGCUUUGACGGGUAGCCGGCCUGGGAGGGUGACCGGCCACAAUGGGACUGCGGGACGGCCCAGACGCCUACGUGAGGCAGCAGUGGGGAAUAUUGCACAACGGGCGGAAGCCUGAUGCAGCAACGCCGCGUGCGGGAUGACGGGUUUCGGGGUGUAAACCGCUGUCGCCUGUGACGAAGCGUGAGUGACGGUAAUGGGUAAAGAAGCACCGGCUAACUACGUG